UUCUCGUUGAUGAUCGGUGCUUGCACCGAGAUUCAACAUGGAACGAGUGGCGGACGGGUGAGUAACACGUGGGUAACCUGCCCUUAAGUGGGGGAUAACAUUUGGAAACAGAUGCUAAUACCGCAUAGAUCCAAGAACCGCAUGGUUCUUGGCUGAAAGAUGGCGUAAGCUAUCGCUUUUGGAUGGACCCGCGGCGUAUUAGCUAGUUGGUGAGGUAAUGGCUCACCAAGGCGAUGAUACGUAGCCGAACUGAGAGGUUGAUCGGCCACAUUGGGACUGAGACACGGCCCAAACUCCUACGGGAGGCAGCAGUAGGGAAUCUUCCACAAUGGACGCAAGUCUGAUGGAGCAACGCCGCGUGAGUGAAGAAGGCUUUCGGGUCGUAAAACUCUGUUGUUGGAGAAGAAUGGUCGGCAGAGUAACUGUUGCCGGCGUGACGGUAUCCAACCAGAAAGCCACGGCUAACUACGUGCCAGCAGCCGCGGUAAUACGUAGGUGGCAAGCGUUAUCCGGAUUUAUUGGGCGUAAAGCGAGCGCAGGCGGUUUUUUAAGUCUGAUGUGAAAGCCCUCGGCUUAACCGAGGAAGCGCAUCGGAAACUGGGAAACUUGAGUGCAGAAGAGGACAGUGGAACUCCAUGUGUAGCGGUGAAAUGCGUAGAUAUAUGGAAGAACACCAGUGGCGAAGGCGGCUGUCUGGUCUGUAACUGACGCUGAGGCUCGAAAGCAUGGGUAGCGAACAGGAUUAGAUACCCUGGUAGUCCAUGCCGUAAACGAUGAAUGCUAGGUGUUGGAGGGUUUCCGCCCUUCAGUGCCGCAGCUAACGCAUUAAGCAUUCCGCCUGGGGAGUACGACCGCAAGGUUGAAACUCAAAGGAAUUGACGG
rnacentral:rRNA from 2 species